rnacentral:rRNA from 1 species
GACAGAGGGUGCAAACGUUGUUCGGAAUUACUGGGCGUAAAGCGCGUGUAGGCUGCUCGGAAAGUCGGAUGUGAAAGCCCUGGGCUCAACCUAGGAAGUGCAUUCGAAACUUCCGAGCUGGAGUACUGGAGAGGAAGGCGGAAUUCUCGGUGUAGAGGUGAAAUUCGUAGAUAUCGAGAAGAACACCGGUGGCGAAGGCGGCCUUCUGGACAGUCACUGACGCUGAGACGCGAAAGCGUGGGGAGCAAACAGG